rnacentral:tRNA from 1 species
GGCAAAGUGGGCAGGUAGGUUCCCCCGGCCUGUCACGCCGGAGGUCGCGGGUUCGAGCCCCGUCACUCCCG